rnacentral:rRNA from 1 species
CUGAGACCGNUGCGCGAUUCCCGCCCUCNCGUUCGCUCUGGCCUUCGGGUCUCCGCGUUCGGGGCNAAAGGACGGCGCGCUCCGCUUUGGWGACUCUGGAUAACUCACUGGUCGAUCGCACGGGCUUCCACGCCCGGCGACGGGUCCCCCGAGGGUCCGCCCUAUCAACUG